CGGGCGGCAGCUACACAUGCAGUCGAGCGGUAACAGGAAUCAAGCUUGCUUCAUUCGCUGACGAGUGGCGGACGGGUGAGUAAUGUCUGGGGAAACUGCCUGAUGGAGGGGGAUAACUACUGGAAACGGUAGCUAAUACCGCAUAACGUCGCAAGACCAAAGAGGGGGACCUUCGGGCCUCUUGCCAUCGGAUGUGCCCAGAUGGGAUUAGCUAGUAGGUGGGGUAACGGCUCACCUAGGCGACGAUCCCUAGCUGGUCUGAGAGGAUGACCAGCCACACUGGAACUGAGACACGGUCCAGACUCCUACGGGAGGCAGCAGUGGGGAAUAUUGCACAAUGGGCGCAAGCCUGAUGCAGCCAUGCCGCGUGUAUGAAGAAGGCCUUCGGGUUGUAAAGUACUUUCAGCGGGGAGGAAGGGAGUAAAGUUAAUACCUUUGCUCAUUGACGUUACCCGCAGAAGAAGCACCGGCUAACUCCGUGCCAGCAGCCGCGGUAAUACGGAGGGUGCAAGCGUUAAUCGGAAUUACUGGGCGUAAAGCGCACGCAGGCGGUCUAGUUAAGUCAGAUGUGAAAUCCCCGAGCUCAACUUGGGAACUGCAUCUGAUACUGGCAAGGCUUAGAGUCUUCGUAGAGGGGGGGUAGAAUUCCAUGUGUAGCGGUGAAAUGCGUAGAGAUCUGGAGGAAUACCGGUGGCGAAAGGCGGCCCCCUGGACGAAGACUGACGCUCAGGUGCGAAAGCGUGGGGGAGCAAACAGGAUUAGAUACCCUGGUAGUCCACGCCCGUAAACGAUGUCGACUUGGAGGUUUGUGCUCUUGAGGCGUGGCUUUCUGGAGCUAACGCGUUUAAGUCGACCCGCCUGGGGAGUACGGCCGCAAGGGUUAAAACUUCAAAUGAAUUUGACGGGGCCGGCACAAGCGGUGGAAGCAUGUGGUUAAUUCGAUGCAACGCGAGAUCCUUACUGCUCUUGACAUCCCAUCGGAAGCU
rnacentral:rRNA from 1 species